CGGAGGAAGGUGGGGAUGAGGUCAAGUCAUCAUGCCCCUUAUGUCUUGGGCUUCACGCAUGCUACAAUGGCCGGUACAAUGGGCAGCGAUACCGUGAGGUGGAGCGAAUCCCAAAAAGCCGGUCCCAGUUCGGAUUGAGGCCUGCAACUCGGCCUCAUGAAGUCGGA
rnacentral:rRNA from 1 species